UAGAAUUAGGAGGAAUUGAGCUCCUAUACUUUUAAAAAUACUAAUUUAUUAGUGUUUGUAAAUUUUUUGUUCUUAAAUUAAGAAAUGUAUGGUUAUGAUGAUGGUGGUCUCUCAAUUUUGAGUGGGUGGAUGGUUGGUUGAAUAGUAUGAUCUAACGAGUAUAAAUAGUCAAAAAAGUAGAUCCAACGAUGGAAAAAUUUAUAAUCUGCAAGUGCUUGACGCUUUUAAAAGCACCAUAGCAGAACUCGAAUUGGGA
rnacentral:lncRNA from 1 species